rnacentral:pre_miRNA from 1 species
UCACCUCCGCAGGCUGGCCGCCCCCAGGCUGGGCUGGGCGGGCAUCUCUUUGAAAGGCUCCCCCUCAAACACAAUUAGGAGC